GUCCUCGUAGGGCGCGGUGACCACGGUGGACUCGGCCUCCACGGCCUGGCGGUACCAGGGACGCUCGCGCGGGUCGUAUCCAUCCGGGGUCUC
rnacentral:tRNA from 1 species